AUCCAGCUGAUGAGUUCCAAAUAGGACAAAAUGCACGUCCUGGGU
rfam:Schistosoma mattheei strain Denwood, Zambia genome assembly, scaffold: SMTD_scaffold0012282